rnacentral:rRNA from 1 species
CCCUUAGAUGUUCUGGGCUGCACACGUGCUACACUGGCAGGUUCAGCGAGCUUCAUGCCCUGAUCUGAAAGGAAUGGGAAAUCUUUUCAAAACCUGCCGUGCUUGGGAUAGAUGUUUGCAAUUAUUCAUCUUCAACGAGGAUUGCCUUGUAAGCGCACGUCAUCAGCGUGCAUUGAAUACGACCCUGUAUUCUGUACACACCGCCCGUCGCUCCUACCGAUUGAAGUUUUCGGUGAGUUGACAGGAGGAUUUUUUUGAAACUGGUUCGCCAGUGGAUUUUAGAUCCAAAUGCCAACGAAUCGAUGGCUUUAGAGGAAGGAGAAAUCGUAACA